AAAGGUUUGCGCACUGAGCUUUCUCAGACCCAACCAUUUCACUGAGAUGGAAGAGCAAGAAAAUAUCUUUUGGACAAACUAUCAAUUGAAAUAAUCACAAAACCAGGUAGGGCAUUUCUGGAAACACUAAGCUGAAACCAAACCCAGAGAGUGUCUUUCCCAUUGCAGCUGGAAAGGACAGCAUAGGAGAUGCGUGUAACAGGAAAUGGUUGCAAACACGGGGACACGCAACUAAAAACUGAAAUAUGCCAACCGGAAAAGGAAAUUCUUCAAAAGGAACAUGUGAUAUCAAGUGUGUAUUUCUAGUCCUGGAAAAGAUCUGUCAGAAAAAUCAAAAGUCCACUGAUAAAGAACAAGAUGACUUUGGUGGUAUACACCUGUAAUCUCAGCACUCGGGAAACUGAGGCAGGAGGAUGGUGGCCUCAGUGAAGACGUGGAUGACGUAAGGCUACUCUGGACCACACAGAGAGACCCUACGUCAGAAAUUAAAGCAAACAAAGGAGAAUAACAACCCAGGAGCACAAGUUUCGGAGACAGACCCAGAUAAAAACCUGACCCUUGUUAAAGGCAGACCCGGACAUAUUUUUAGUUGUUUUCAAGCUCUGUAAAAUGGAGAUUUUCUUAGUGUUAAAACACAAGCCUGCACCUAUGGGCGUGAAUCAGACUGCUCUGCCGCUCUCCCUGGAAGGAAGGCAUUGCUGCUGGAAAAGAUUAAUGAUUCAAUCACCACCCCAGAGAAGAACUUAGACAUGAAGAUUGACAACAGUGACCUCUACACUUAGAAAACAUUUGGAAAAAUAAAGUUGUUAGUGAAGCCAG